GCGGAGGUGGCGGAAUGGUAGACGCGCUACUUUGAGGUGGUAGUGAGAGAAUUCUCGUGAGGGUUCGACUCCCUCCUUCCGCA
rnacentral:tRNA from 1 species